UAGUGUCUGUCUCCAGGUGUUUUCUACAGCCGUAGGUUCAGUAGUGUCUGUCUCCAGGUGUUUUCUACAGCCGUAGGUUCAGUAGUGUCUGUCUCCAGGUGUUUUCUACAGCCGUAGGUUCAGUAGUGUCUGUCUCCAGGUGUUUUCUACAGCCGUAGGUUCAGUAGUGUCUGUCUCCAGGUGUUUUCUACAGCCGUAGGUUCAGUAGUGUCUGUCUCCAGGUGUUUUCUACAGCCGUAGGUUCAGUAGUGUCUGUCUCCAGGUGUUUUCUACAGCCGUAGGUUCAGUAGUGUCUGUCUCCAGGUGUUUUCUACAGCCGUAGGUUCAGUAGUGUCUGUCUCCAGGUGUUUUCUACAGCCGUAGGUUCAGUAGUGUCUGUCUCCAGGUGUUUUCUACAGCCGUAGGUUCAGUAGUGUCUGUCUCCAGGUGUUUUCUACAGCCGUAGGUUCAGUAGUGUCUGUCUCUAGGUGUUUUCUACAGCCGUAGGUUCAGUAGUGUCUGUCUCCAGGUGUUUUCUACAGCCGUAGGUUCAGUAGUGUCUGUCUCCAGGUGUUUUCUACAGCCGUAGGUUCAGUAGUGUCUGUCUCCAGGUGUUUUCUACAGCCGUAGGUUCAGUAGUGUCUGUCUCCAGGUG